AUUGAACGCUGGCGGCAUGCUUUACACAUGCAAGUCGAACGGUAACAGGCCUUCGGGUGCUGACGAGUGGCGAACGGGUGAGUAAUGCAUCGGAACGUGCCCAAUCGUGGGGGAUAACGUAGCGAAAGUUACGCUAAUACCGCAUAAGCCCUGAGGGGGGAAAGUGGGGGACCGCAAGGCCUCACGCGAAUGGAGCGGCCGAUGUCAGAUUAGCUAGUUGGUGGGGUAAAGCCCACCAAGGCGACGAUCUGUAGCGGGUCUGAGAGGAUGAUCCGCCACACUGGGACUGAGACACGGCCCAGACUCCUACGGGAGGCAGCAGUGGGGAAUUUUGGACAAUGGGGGAAGCCCUGAUCCAGCCACGCCGCGUGAGUGAAGAAGGCCU
rnacentral:rRNA from 1 species